rnacentral:lncRNA from 1 species
AUCUGAACGUCAGGAUCAAAGCUACAAAAUCAGGGACAUUUUCCUGACUCUGGAUUUGGCAAUAACUUUAUGGAUAUGACACCAAAAGUACUGGCAACAGAAACAAAAUGAAACCAAGCCAGAUAAAUAGGGCUGCAACAAUAUCCCAUCUGAGUUUCUGGCUUAGUUUUUUAUAAUAACCUCUUUCUAUUCUUUAAUAUCUGUAGGAUCUUUAUUGAUGACCGAUUUUAGUAAUGUGUUGUCUCUUUUUUUAAAAAAAAAUUUCAUUACUUUUUUCAAUGACCCAAUCUUUUGCCUUACUAAUCUUCUCUGUUGUAUAUCUGCUUUACAUUUCAUUAAUUUUUUUGUUGUUCUUAUUUUUUGUUAUUUCCUUUUUUUCCCUCUUUCUUAGGUUUCAUUGCUGGGCUUCUCCAACUUCUCCACAUGCAUUAAAAACUAUAAAUUUCUUUCCCUUAACUGCUUUAGCUGUUUAUCUCGGGUUGUGGGUGGUAUUUAUAUUUUCAUUCCCGUCAAAACAUUUUCUAAUUUUUCUGUGUGAUUUCUUCCUUGACCUACAGGUUAUUUAGAAGCGUUUGGUUUAACUUCCAAACAUGUGGGGUGUCUAAUCGUCUUUCUUUUGUUCAUUUAUGGUUUAAUUCCACUUUGGUCAGAGAUCAGUCCCAGCAUGAUUUCACCUUUUGAAAUUUGUUAAGACUUGCUUCAUGAUCCAACGCAUGUCCUGUUUUGGUAAAUAUGUCCUGGAGAAGAACAUAUGUUCUCUAGUCUCUGGGUGUAUUGUUCUAUAAACGUCAAUUAGGUCAAGUUGAUUAAUUCUCUUGUUCCUAUUUUCUCUAAACUUUCUUGCUUUUUAAUCUGAUUCUUCUAUCAGUUGCUGAAAGAUGUUCAUUAAAAUGUCCAGCCAUGAUAACAGAUUUGCCUGUG